GAUGUCAUCAGCAACAUCGUCCUGAUUGAAAAAAACAUUUGACAAGAUCAUCAUAAUCAGAAUCAGACCACAAGAAAGAAGGAUUGAGGAAUGUAUCAAAAUGUAAACUAAGCAACAACUUGAUUUCCAAAUCUAGUCUCCCUCAAUGGCAUAUAUCUUGCUCAUGGUUUCAGAAAUCACAAACAGGCUUAAGCAAGGCAUAAGGAGGAAUGCAUCAAAAUGUAAACUAAACCACUUGAUAUUCAAUUCGUGUCUUCCUCAAUGGCUUAACAAGGCUUAUGAUUUCAUAAAUUAAGCAACAAAACAGGAUUAAACACAUUUGACAAUCACUAAAAUCAGAAUCAGAGCCAGCAGAAUGCAUCCAAAUGUAAACUAAACUGUUUUAUUACAAAUCAAGUCUUUCUUAAUGGUUUAAUUAUAGGCUAAAAGUUUCAGAGAUCAAGAAACAAAAACGUUAUUCGUUCAUCAAGCAACAAAAACAAGCUUAUAAGGCCAAAAUAUAAUACCUAGCAAGAUUACUAACACAGUUGACAAUCACCAAAAUCAGAAUUAGACCAGAAGAAUGCAUCAAAUAAACUUGAUAUCCAAAUCUAACUUUUGUCAAUGACUUAAUUAGGCUCAUUGUUUCACAAUUCAAGCAACAAAAUCAAUCAUACAGGAGCCAAUAUAUAAUACCUGCAUAUCAGAAGUCCAGAGA